UCUAUUGUAUUUUCAUCGAUUUUAUGUAGGAUUAGAUAGAGAUAAAAUAAAUAAAGAUGAUUGAGAUUGUUAUUUUUUAAUUUAAAUUGUUUAAAAAUGUUUAUAAAUUAUAGUUAUUUUAAGAAUAAAAAAUAACAAGCUUAGCAUUACUUGAUAUAAGGCAGAGUAGUAAACAACAUAAAAACAGUCAAUUUUUAUGUUUUCACAUAAACAUUGCAUCCAAUUUAAAUACACAAAUUAAAUUCAAUACCAUUUAAAAGAAUAAAUUAAAAAAUUCUUCAGAAUAUUAGAACAUAAUUGUAAACUGCAUUUUGAUCACUCUAAUUUGAAACUAACUUUCACAAUGCCUGAUGGAAAAUCUCUUACGUUUCAAUUCAACUGAAAGACGUCAAAAAUGACAAAUCUAUCAAAGACGGGUAGUUCGCCUGGCCCCGAGACAUUCUAAUCCAACAAAGUGUUUGUGUUAUUUUGUUAUGAUGAUCUGGUAGUAAUAAUGAAACAAAAUAUACUUAUUCAUUCUUUAAUUUUAUUGAUUUAAUUCCUCUGAUUUAUCGGACUGCACUAUACGUUGUGCAAAUUGAGAAAUAAUAUCAAAAAAAUUUGUGUUAAAAAGAGCAAUAAUUAAACCAAUAGGAUCUAAGACAUGGACUCCAAAGGAAAAUUUUAUGGAAGAUUUUCAGUGACAUUUGUGAAAAUGGGCAUUGGAAGAUCAGAA